GUUUCACACGGCUGAUAACCUGAAUCGUCUCCUCACCAAGGAAGCCCACCCUGACCUCCUCUGGCUCUUGAGGUGACCUGGACUUCCUCUGUCGAAGAAUGUUGCCUCUUUCACGUGCUAAUCUCCCAUUCCAAGCUGGACCCCCUGACUGGGACCCCAAAGAGGGCUGUAUCUCCAGAGGCCGGCAAGAACCCAGCACAGGGCAGCCAUGGGGGCCAGGUGUUGGGUGAAUGAUAUCACUGAGCACCUGUUGCGUGCCGAACCCUUCACACACGAGUCCGGCGUUUAACAUCUUUCUUCUGGAAUGCUGGCUUUGCCAAGACUAGUGCAUAGCAAGCACUCCAGGAUUACGUGAUGGAAGUGCUGAGAUGAACUGUCACUCAGAGGAAAGAAGACUUCCUGAGGACGGGGCCUUAGCAGACUGAGCUCAUGAGACAGUAAAAAUAAGAAGAAAAUAAUAAUUGUCACUAUUUAUUAUGAUCCGGGAUCAUUAUUUAUUAUCAUUAUUUAUUAUGAUCCCAGAUCGUAAUAAAUGGUUCAUCUUCCCAGGGGGUUAGUACUGCUCUUGUGCCCAUCUCACAGAUGGGGGAACUGAGGCACAGAGAAGUAAAAGUAGAAACCCCAAGUCACACAGUCAGUGAGUGGCAGAGCCAGGAUUAGACCAACGCUGUUUGUCUGAGGAGACUGUCCUGAGCUUAUUACAACACACCUUCCAAAAAGAGAAGUGCUGAUGGCUGUACCCAUUUUGCAGAUGAGGAAGCAGAGGUUCUGAGAAGCGAAAGGGCUGGCCCGUGUCUGGAAGCAGAGAUGGUGGCUCAGCUGGAGACGCCCAAGGGAGCGCCCCAGCCUCCUGGGUUAGUGCUCUAAAGGAGGGGGGAGCUGUCCCCUGCCUGUUCUUGUGUCUGGCCAAUACCCCAGCCUCUGUUUACCCAGCCCAACACCCAAGAGCUGCCUCUUCCGCCUGCCCUGGAGUCUCGGGUGCCUUCACAAUAGGAUGCUCUGUCUGUGCAGCUGGUUUUCAUU
ensembl:lncRNA